rnacentral:rRNA from 1 species
UACGUAGGGUGCAAGCGUUGUCCGGAAUUAUUGGGCGUAAAGAGCCCGUAGGCGGUCUGUCGCGUCGGCUGUGAAAUCCCGGAGCUCAACUCCGGGCCUGCAGUCGAUACGGGCAGACUGGAGUUCGGCAGGGGAGACUGGAAUUCCUGGUGUAGCGGUGAAAUGCGUAGAUAUCGUUUGGAACGCCGAUGGUGAAAACAGGUCGCUGGGGCUGUGCUGACGCUGAGACACGAAAGCCAGGGGAGCGAACGGG